GCAGUCGCGAAACCUUCGCAAUGCGCGUAAGCGUGACGAGGGGACCCCAAGUGCGCAUGUACAGCAUGCGCUUUUCUGGAGUGUAAACAGCUUCAGGAAUAAGGGCUGGGUAAGACUGGUGCCAGCCUCCGCGGUAACACCAGCAGCUCAAGUGGUGAUCACGUUUACUGGGUUUGAAGCGUGCGUAGUCGGUUUAGCAAGUUUUCUGUGAAAUCCUGCGGCUUAACUGUAGGGAUUGCAGAAAAUACUACUAGGCUCGAGACCGGGUGAGGAGUGGGGUAUUUCAGGGGUAGCGGUGAAAUGUUAUAAUCCCUGGAGGACCACCAGUAGCGAAGGCGCCACUCUAGAACGGGUCUGACGAUGAGGUACGAGAGCUAGGGGAGCAAACAGGAUUAGAUACCCUGGUAGUCCUAGCCGUAAACGAUGUGGAUUUAGUGUUCCCUGAACCUUGUGUUCGGGGAGUGCUGAAGGGAAACCGUUAAAUCCACCACCUGGGGAGUACGGUCGCAAGGCUGAAACU
rnacentral:rRNA from 1 species